GCCCGGGGCACGCCCGGCCGCUUCCCCGGGUCCGUGCCCAGCCCUCCUCGGCGGCAGAGGGCCAGGGCUCCGCCGCUCCCGGCCGCGUAGCAGGUGCCCAGCCCGCACCCCACACCUCUCUCCCGGGAGGACACCAGCAGGACAGCGAGGGCACAGGCUCCGGGCUCCACCCGCUGCGCCCCAGACCCGGGAACCCACGGCGCUGUCCCUUCCCCAGAGCCGAGGGGCGCAUCCCGGACUGGCCCCCUGCCUCGCCUCUCGGUUGCUGCUGCUUAUACCCUCUGGGCAACAGGCAACCUGAGCUCCCAGACUAGCCCACCGCCUAGCCAGCAGCGGCCUUGUGCCCAGCUUCAGGCAAGGUCAGGAGGCCUUCUGUACCAGCCGCUACUCGGAUGCCUUCAGCUUGACCUGUCCAGGCGCCAGAAGCCACAGCCCGGAAUGAACGCCCGGGCCAUCGAGGAGAAGACUGACUAGAGUUCUCCAGAGAGCUUCAAACUCCUGCCACACACUGAGUAAGCAUCCUCUUAAGACAGAAAAGAUGCCCAACAGAAAAGAGCAAGUGUUACACACACAUUUUGA
rnacentral:lncRNA from 1 species